rnacentral:rRNA from 1 species
UACAGAGGGGCAAGCGUUGUUCGGAAUUACUGGGCGUAAAGGGCGCGUAGGCGGCCUGUUAAGUCGAACGUGAAAUCCCCGGGCUCAACCCGGGAACUGCGUCCGAUACUGGCAGGCUUGAAUCCGGGAGAGGGAUGCGGAAUUCCAGGUGUAGCGGUGAAAUGCGUAGAUAUCUGGAGGAACACCGGUGGCGAAAGGCG